rnacentral:misc_RNA from 1 species
GAUGAAGAACGUAGCGAAAUGCGAUAGUAAUGUGAAUUGCAGAAUUCAGUGAAUCAUCGAAUCUUUGAACGCACAUUGCGCCCCUUGGUAUUCCGAGGGGCAUGCCUGUUCGAGCGUCAUUACACCACUCAAGCUAUGCUUGGUAUUGGGCGUCGUCCUUAGUUGGGCGCGCCUUAAAGACCUCGGCGAGGCCACUCCGGCUUUAGGCGUAGUAGAAUUUAUUCGAACGUCUGUCAAAGGAGAGGAACUCUGCCGACUGAAACCUUUAUUUUUCUAGGUUGACCUCGGAUCAGGUAGGGAUACCCGCUGAACUUAAGCAUAUCAAUAAGCGGAGGA